rnacentral:tRNA from 1 species
GGAGAGGUCGCAUAGUUGGUCUAGUGCGGCCGCCUGCUAAGCGGCUUGGGGGUUAUAAGCUCCCUCGAGGGUUCGAAUCCCUCCCUCUCCGCCA